UGUCCCAUGGCUUAGUUGGUUACGGCGUCCGACUGUUAAUCGGAAGAUCGAGAGUUCAAGUCUCUCUGGGACAG